rnacentral:lncRNA from 1 species
CUUCCAUAAGGGAAGGUUCUCUACCUGGGGUUUCUUCCUUUUGGAGUGUUUAGUAAGGCCCUGAUCCUUAGGAUAGCACGUUAACUCAAGAAGCACCAAAGAGCAAAAAUCUUACUGGAGAAGGAUAAUUGCAACGACUCUCCAAGGGCUCACUGUUCUUCCACCCAUCAGUAGAUGCAGUGCUGAGGAGAUAAGGUACCUGCUGUAGGUUUAGAAAGGAAGCUUGAAAAUCUGGAACUGCUGCAUUCAAGUCUUCAUGAAAAUGUGAAUGCUCUUGGGUUUGCACUCUUCCAUGACUGGAAGCAGCAGCAUCUCAGCAUGACAACAUCCAUC